rnacentral:rRNA from 1 species
CGAAAGCCUGACGGAGCAACGCCGCGUGAGGGAGGAAGGCUUUCGGGUUGUAAACCUCUUUUCUCUGGGAAGAAGUACUGACGGUACCAGAGGAAUAAGCCUCGGCUAACUCCGUGCCAGCAGCCGCGGUAAGACGGAGGAGGCAAGCGUUAUCCGGAAUUAUUGGGCGUAAAGCGUCCGUAGGUGGUGAUUCAAGUCUUUUGUCAAAGAAUGGAGCUCAACUCUGUAUAGGCGGAAGAAACUGAAUUACUUGAGUGUGGUAGGGGUAGAGGGAAUUCCAGGUGUAGCGGUGAAAUGCGUAGAUAUCUGGAAGAACACCAGUGGCC